UACAGAGGUCCCGAGCGUUGUUCGGAUUCACUGGGCGUAAAGGGUGCGUAGGCGGUCGGGUAAGUCUGAUGUGAAAUCUCACAGCUUAACUGUGAAACUGCAUUGGAUACUAUCCGGCUAGAGGAAUGGAGGGGAGACUGGAAUACUUGGUGUAGCAGUGAAAUGCGUAGAUAACAAGUGGAACACCAGUGGCGAAGGCGAGUCUCUGGACAUUUCCUGACGCUGAGGCACGAAAGCCAGGGGAGCAAACGGG
rnacentral:rRNA from 1 species